AAAGCACUUUCAGUAGGGAGGAAGGUAGUGUAGUUAACACCUGCAUUAUUUGACGUUACCUACAGAAGAAGCACCGGCUAACUCCGUGCCAGCAGCCGCGGUAAUACGGAGGGUGCGAGCGUUAAUCGGAAUUACUGGGCGUAAAGCGCAUGCAGGCGGCCUGUUAAGUCAGAUGUGAAAGACCCGGGGCGUUAACCUCGGAAUUGCAUUUGUAAACUAGGCAGGCUAGAGUCUUGUAGAGGGGGGUAGGAAUUUCUAGGUGUAGCGGUGAAAUAGCGUAGAGAUCUGAAGGAAUACCAGUGGCGAAGGCGGCCCCCCUCGGACAAAGACUGACGCUCAGAUGCGAAAGCGUGGGGAGCAAACAGGAUUAGAUACCCUGGUAG
rnacentral:rRNA from 1 species